CUGUCCUCUGUGCAGGGACGCGACGUCCUGCAGGGCUCUGCACUGUGCGAUCCGGCGGCUGGCAGAGUCUCAGCCCAGCGCCACGGCAGCCAACCUCCUGCACAGCCUGCAGACCUGCGGCGUGAUCAGCAAGACGGGCAUGCCCAGCAAGAGCUCGGCCCCAGCGGCCUCGCUGGCCCUGUCCUGGACCUGCCUGCUGGUGCGCGCCGUCUUCCCCUCCCCCGACAGCCGAGAGGGCCCCACCUGGAAGAAGCUGGUGGAGGUGCAGAGUCUGCUGCUGUCCGAGGUGCUGGGAGGAGCACGCAGGAACACUGUCGCGUCGGCCCUGAAGAGCCUGCAUCUGCUGUGG